GUAUAAUGGAGAGGUUUUGGUGCCCGCGCGCAUGUCCAUGUGCGCAGUUAAACGGGAAACACAAAGCCGCUCCAGCGGUAAAUGUGUGCUGCCCCCGCAACGGUAAGCAAGUGUCGCGAUCCGCGACGAGCUGUCUAUGAAAACCACUGUGCAUCGCAUGGGAAGGUGUGACAGUCAACUUGCCAGCCCGGAUACCGGCCAGGACAGGUGGAAGUGU
rnacentral:ncRNA from 2 species